rnacentral:lncRNA from 1 species
CAUUCUGUUUAGUAUUGUUUUGCUGUAGUGAUUAUUAAUGCAUAUAUUAAAAGAUUUCUCUUUUUGAUUUAGGCGCUAAAGGAAUGAAAGGAGAUAAAGGAGACAGAGGAGACAGAGGAGACCAAGGAGCCAAAGGUCCAGCAGGACCAAAGGGUGAUCCCUGGCCCACAGAUAAUUCAUCUUCAUCUGAAGAUGUAAUCCGUGGAGUGAAGGGCGAAAAAGGAGAUAAAGGAGUGACGGUAAAUUACACAUCGUUUUUUAAUUUAUGUAAAUAAUAUGCAAUAUGCAUUCAUAUUUUGCUGUUUUAUAGAACUUUAAUCGAUGUCCAAUCAGUUGUGUAUUUUACAUUAACCCCCCCCCCCUCCGCCACAGGGUAAUCCUGGAUCAGGUUAUCCAGGGUCUAAAGGGGAUCGGGGACCUCCAGGUCUGCCAGGGCCGCCUGGUCCUCAGGGUCCGGCUGCUGAGUUAAUCAACGUCGGGGAAGGUAAAGUGGUGGAGAGGGUGGUGGGACCCGUCGGCCCCAACGGUCUACCAGGCCCUCCAGGUCCACCAGGACCUCCUGGACCAGAGGGGGAUACUGUGAGUGCAUUAAAAUGGAUUUUUACGUGACAAAAGUGAUAAUAAGCUCCCUGUACUGACAGAACCUUAGAGAGCACAAUACCGCCAACCACCAGCAGAGGGCCUGAAUGCUUCAGUAGAAGAGCUAGAGGAUCUGGGCCAUAAAACUCCAAAUCCCAGAAUCCACAGCAGUAAUUAGCACUGACCAGGCUCAGCUGUGAGACACAGCAUAGAAACCCCACUAAAACAACAGUCCUCUGUCUCACCUUUGUAGAGGGGUGGGAGGAAACAGUGUGUAACAAGAGAAGAGUAGUGCUAGUGAAAUUCUUGGUGUCUAAACAAAUAAUUUUUAUACUUUUUUUGGCAGGGAGACCCUGGAGAAGAUGGCAAAAAGGUAGGACCUUAACACACAGUUUAUAUCACUAUUAUAUUAACUGUACAAAUAAAUCAUCCACUCUGAUGCUUCCUUUAAGGGUC